AUCCAGAUGACAGGUCCCAAAUAUGACGAAACGUGCGUCUUGGAU
rnacentral:hammerhead_ribozyme from 1 species